CAUGACGAUGUAUCUUGGCCUUGUUCUGCUUUAAAAUUUCUGCUUUAGAUUUAUGAACAAGCUUGGAUAUGAAAAGUACAGAUACCACAUAUUUACUUGAAGUGGCUAGUUUUACAUUAAACACCUACCUUUUCUCCUUAUUUUCAAAUAUAUUUAUCAUUGAUUUCUAUAUCCUGACUAACAGACUUUUUCUUCUUUUAACUUAGAUACUCAUUUACAAUUAUUCGCCUUUUUUAUGGAGGUCUGAUUAUCUUAUUUUCUGAAAACUUUAAA
rnacentral:lncRNA from 1 species